CUACGGGUUGCUGCAGUCGAGAAUCUUCCACAAUGCACGAAAGUGUGAUGGAGCGACGUCGCGUGAUCGAUGAAGUCUUUCGGGAUGUACAGAUCUUUUAUAAGUGAAGAAGUUUAUUGACAUUAGCUUAUGAAUAAGGGGUUGCUAAACUCGUGCCAGCAGCAGCGGUAAUACGAGUACCCCGAGCGUUAUCCGGAAUCAUUGGGCGGAAAGGAUGCGUAGGCGGUUGUAUUAGUCUUUUGUUAAAGCCCGAGGCUUAACCUCGGAUCUGCAAGAGAAACGGUACAACUAGAGGAUGUGAGAUGUGUGCGGAACUCAUAGUGUAGGGGUGAAAUCCGUUGAUAUUAUGGGGAACACAAAAUGCGAAGGCAGCACACUGGCACAUUCCUGACGCUGAGGCAUGAAAGCGUGGGUAGCGAAAGGGAUUAGAUACCCGCGUAGUC
rnacentral:rRNA from 1 species